rnacentral:rRNA from 1 species
CCCAGACUCCUACGGGAGGCAGCAGUGGGGGAUAUUGCACAAUGGGGGGAACCCUGAUGCAGCGACGCCGCGUGGGUGAAGGAGCGUUUCGGCGCGUAAAGCCCUCUCGGCAGGGAAGAAGGAGGACGGUACCUGACUAAGAAGCCCCGGCUAACUACGUGCCAGCAGCCGCGGUAAUACGUAGGGGGCAAGCGUUAUCCGGAUUUACUGGGUGUAAAGGGGGCGCAGACGGCAGCGCAAGCCAGGAGUGAAAGCCCGGGGCCCAACCCCGGGACUGCUCUUGGAACUGCGCGGCUGGAGUGCAGGAGGGGCAGGCGGAAUUCCUGGUGUAGCGGUGAAAUGCGUAGAGAUCGGGAGGAACACCAGUGGCGAAGGCGGCCUGCUGGGCUCUAACUGACGCUGAGGCACGAAAGCGUGGGUAGCAAACAGGAUUAGAUACCCUUGUAA